rnacentral:lncRNA from 1 species
GGAUUAUUCUCUCGUUCAAUCUCAAUAACGAUCAUGAUGCAGCCAGCGCCCGGAGCGGUCCCACCCCCGCCACCACCGAUGGCCGCUCACCAGUACCAAUACCAACAACAGGCGCCGCCUCAGCAGCAGCCGCCACCGCAACCCUCGCCGUACAUGAUGAUGAUGCCGCCUCAGCCCCAGGCCCAGCCUCCUGCCAUGUGGGCCACGCAGGCUGCUGCUCCUCAGGCGGCGGGAGUUGCGGUACCACCUCAGCAGCAGGGUCAGCCCGGUGAGAUCCGGACCCUGUGGAUCGGGGACUUGCAGUAUUGGAUGGAU